UUUGCCGUUGCCCCCACCACUCGUCGUUUCCUUCGACCAGAAGGAAGAGAGGUCCCAGAUGCGGCCGCCCUUCUCCCCACGCACGCUUCUUCUUUCUUUCUCUCCCAGACCCACUCGUGGCGCCCAUUAACAAUCGCUACAAGGGCGCACGAAGGGCUAUGCCACGUGAACAUGAAGGAAUGGUGAUGGCACUGUUCUGUCUUUUCGUUCCGUUUGUCGUUGCCCCCACCACUCGUCGUUUCUUUCGACCAAAAGGAAGAGAGGUCCCAGAUGCGGCCGCCCUUCUCCCCACGCACAUUUCUUCUUUCUUUCUCUCCCAGACCCAUUCGCGGCGGAGGCUGGAGGCAGAAAGGUGGGCGCCGCCGCCGCAGAAGAGGGCCAGCGCGCCCGCACCGCUGGUCAAGUUGCGUCUGGAGGCGAUGAGGGGGAGCAGCCGCGCCCGGAGGAGGUCGUCCCCGGAGCAGCACGCUGCUGACGACUAUGAUGCUGCCUGGAUGCUGGACGAGGACGACUCCCUCAAGCUCGUCGCCUCCCAGUUUCACGCGCUGGUGCGCUGCCAAGCCCGAGCCCGAGACAGGAGACGGGCGCACUUUCUCAUG
rnacentral:lncRNA from 1 species